rnacentral:tRNA from 1 species
AGCCCCGGAGCCUUUUAGGGCUCUUCUUCAAAUUUGCAUUUUGACGUAGAACACCGCAGGGCU